UGGCUGUGGUGGGAUCCAAAGUGAACCUCUGAUGGUGUUCAGGGACAACAAGAAACACAGGUGUGGAACUCUGUGAAUUCUGCCAUUUCUGAGGCCAUGGAGAAUUAUUAUUUUACUCUGAUGCUGUCACAAAAGCGAUCCUGCAAAACUGUUUCAUCCUCAAAGAGAAUUCAUGGAAAAGAACUUUGACAAGUACGGUUUUCUGAUAACUUUAGGAUCAUAAAACUUAACUGGGCCAUGCGGCUUGUGGAGAUUUUAGUUCCUUGACUAGGAACUGAAUUCAGGCCACCACAGUGAAAGUGCCAAGUCCUAACCACUGGACUGCCAGGAAAUUCCCUUGACUGGAUUCUAAAUCCUUCCAGCUUCCUAAAAUCUGGCUACAACUCUCCAAACUAACAUUUCCAAUUUUCUCCCAUCCUUCUGAUUUGGAGUCAGUAAGAACAAAAACUGCUUUUAAUUCGCCUUGAAAGGAAGUCCUCCUCACUAUUCAGAGAGCAGCCAAACUUCAGGGACUUGAACCUUGGAUAUAUAUCUCACAGCUAAAGAAGGCUCUACCUGACAUCUGAUUCUGUAAAAACACUGGAGAAUGCCAAAUUAAAUUGACUAGGAAGAUCAGCAGCUGACAUCAAGGUAGAGUUCUUCCUUCCAAGAUGUCAGAUCAAGACUUGAUACUUUAAGUAAGCAUGAAACCCUCUCUUUUUUGUGUGUCUUCUUUGGCCUGGAAAGAUGA